AGCGAACGCUGGCGGCAGGCCUAACACAUGCAAGUCGAACGAACCUUUCGGGGUUAGUGGCGGACGGGUGAGUAACACGUGGGAACGUGCCUUUAGGUUCGGAAUAACUCAGGGAAACUUGUGCUAAUACCGAAUGUGCCCUUCGGGGGAAAGAUUUAUCGCCUUUAGAGCGGCCCGCGUCUGAUUAGCUAGUUGGUUGAGGUAAUGGCUCACCAAGGCGACGAUCAGUAGCUGGUCUGAGAGGAUGAUCAGCCACAUUGGAACUGAGACACGGCCCAAACUCCUACGGGAGGCAGCAGUGGGGAAGCUUGCGCAACGGGCGAAAGCCUGACGCAGCCAUGACGCGUGAAUGAUGAAGGUCUUAGGAUUGUAAAAUUCUUUCACCGGGGACGAUAAUGACGGUACCCGGAGAAGAAGCCCGGGCUAACUUCGUG
rnacentral:rRNA from 1 species